UUGUUCUUGGGGUGCGAGCGCACCAUAUACUGAGGCCCCGAGGUACAGGGCCUCGAACGGGCCCGGGGUUCAAAAGAUUGCGGCCUGUCGGGCCGACGAUCAAAGUCACGAUAGUGAGUAGGGGCCGUGCUCCUACGGCCUCCGUAUUUGACCAUCUCCGCGUAGGAGAGCACUCUUUCCGCCUGUGCGCGGCGCUCUAUGUCGCGGUGGUAACGGGGCGUAGGCCGAGCCAUGCUCUGGACGGCACGUUUGCGUCCGCGUGUGACCAUAGUCCAACCGUCUCUCUCUGGCCAAACCAUGGUUUAAGUGUCUUCUCCUUUUUAAUAUAUAUGUGUACGUGUGUUAGUAGAUUUGUUGUGGAUCUGAAUUGAUCGAAUUGGACCUUUUUUCUAUGUUUUUUAGGUGUGAGAGGACUCUUGGGGAGAUUGGAACCAGGAACUAUACUGGCACGGGUCGGCCUACGGAACGGCGACCCGGAAAGAGUUCCCUCGGACUCAGUGUGAGAGGACUCUUGGGGAGAUUGGAACCAGGAACUAUACUGGCACGGGUCGGCCUACGGAACGGCGACCCGGAAAGAGUUCCCUCGGACUCAGUGUGAGAGGACUCUUGGGGAGAUUGGAACCAGGAACUAUACUGGCACGGGUCGGCCUACGGAACGGCGACCCGGAAAGAGUUCCCUCGGACUCAGUGUGAGAGGACUCUUGGGGAGAUUGGAACCAGGUAAGUAGGCUUAUUUAUUAUUUUUUUAUGUUUUUUUUUGUGUUCUCCGGUAAGUAGGAUCUUAAUUAGUAUCAUGUACUUUUUUAUUUUCAGGAAAAUGGGGCUCGAUUUGUGUUAGGUGCUUUUUAAGUAAUUGUGGAAUUAUGUAUUAUAUGCUAUAUUAUCAAGUGUAUUUUGAGGAAUUGUUAUUUCAGGUCAAUAGGGAUUAAUUUGUAUUAUGUGCUUUUUAAUUUUCAGAGAAGUAGGGCUUAAUUUGUAUUAGAUCUCUGUUAUUCUCCCGAUUAAUAGGGCUUAAUUUGUAUUAUAUGCUUUGUUAUCGAUUGUAUUUAGAGGAAUUUUUAUUCUGAAUCAGUGGAAUCACUUUCCUUGAAUUCUGGAGUGAGGAUAAAUUAACAAGCCGUUGCAACGUUUCGGUUCUCCUGGAACCUUCUUCAGGCAGGCUUGUUAUGAUUUGAAAUUAGUUGAAUAAGUUUGAGGAUCCAAAAAAAAAAAAAAAAAAAAAAAAAAAAAAAAAAAAAAAAAAAAAAAAAAAAAAAAAAAAAAAAUAUGAGUAUUGUUUACAGGCUUUCUCUCAAAGAGCUGGAAGCAGAUUUACUAAAAUAGAUUAAGCAUCAAAAGAAUAUGAUUAGUGUUUAAAGGCUUUCUCUCAAAGAGCUGUAAGCAGAUUUACUAAAAUAGAUUAAGUAUCAAUAGAGUACGAGUAGUGUUUAAAGGCUUUCUCUCAAAGAGCUGGAAGCAGAUUUACUAAAAUAGAUUAAGCAUCAGAAGAGUAUGAUUAGUGUUUAAAGGCUUUCUCUCAAAGAGCUGGAAGCAGUGAGUGAGCUUUUGCCUCCUCAACUGUCCCUUUUUAUAGUAUAGGGGGCGGGACUCUGUUUGAAUGGGCCAAUAGGAGGCUCUCUGUUUGAAUGGGCCA